rnacentral:rRNA from 1 species
UCAGAUUGAACGCUGGCGGCAUGCCUUACACAUGCAAGUCGAACGGCAGCACGGGAGCUUGCUCCUGGUGGCGAGUGGCGAACGGGUGAGUAAUACAUCGGAACGUACCCAGGAGUGGGGGAUAACGUAGCGAAAGUUACGCUAAUACCGCAUAUUCUGUGAGCAGGAAAGCGGGGGAUCGCAAGACCUCGCGCUCUUGGAGCGGCCGAUGUCGGAUUAGCUAGUUGGUGAGGUAAAAGCUCACCAAGGCGACGAUCCGUAGCAGGUCUGAGAGGAUGAUCUGCCACACUGGGACUGAGACACGGCCCAGACUCCUACGGGAGGCAGCAGUGGGGAAUUUUGGACAAUGGGGGCAACCCUGAUCCAGCCAUGCCGCGUGAGUGAAGAAGGCCUUCGGGUUGUAAAGCUCUUUCGGCGGGGAAGAAAUGGCAAC